AGCCAAAAAACAGGCCUCACUAAACACUCAUGUAGCUGCUGCUGAUGUGCAGUGUGUGCAGAAGCAGCAGAAGCAUUUAUCAUUACUUCAUGUGUUAAUUAAUUUACAAAAGGGCCGGUCUAGUGGGGGAAGUGGUGCUCUGCCAGUCAAGGCACUGAGACGAAUGCUAGCUAGACUGUGGCAUGCUGGUAAUGAGCUCUCUGCUAUGAAGAGAUAAGCCGGUUACAGUUCCCCCAAUUAAACACUGGAAGAGACACUAAGAUGCACGAAGGGUCCAGGCUGUCGCUCCAACACCUCGUGUGCGAUCUCACAGGCUGCUGGUGUCCUUUGCACCCUUCUGUGGGGCGUAUGGAGCACAUGGGCCACUGCUAGCAGCAGACCCGCGCACCCCUGAUCCUCUCAGCUACAGAAUGAGAACUUCCAGAUUCGUGGACGUGACACAGAAGGUAGGACAAAACUCAGUGCCAAAUACUUCUUAUUAAUUUUGUUGCAUUAGAAUAUGAGAAGACAGCAUAGAUUUUUCCUUUGUGUUCUAAAACAAUGUAUAUAAUGUCAUCUGUGGAUUAUAAGCAAAACUUUUAAUUUGGAUGACUCGAUACGUAUGAUGUCACGUUGCUCGUGACCUAAACCUACUUCCGCGCAAAGUGAAAACAAGAAUGGCCUUUGCAACUGACCAAAACGAAAAGGUAAAACUUUAAUAUAACCAUGUAGUCCUAAAUGUUUUUUUAGGCCUGAUGCAAAUCUUUUCUUAAAGGCAUUUAAGGAAAUAAACUGUCUUUUACCGGUAGAUGAUUUCAGUGUCUCACAUGGCGCACGCAUUGACCCUGUUUGUCAACGUUUUCUGUUCAAUGCACAGCUGAGUUGAUCGUUUUUAGUCCUUGUGUAAUGAUUAAAAUGAUUCGUUUUUAGUCCUUGUGUAAUGAUUAAAAUGAUUGCAUUAUAUGCUUGUCUUCUCUACCGCUGUUUCUGAGGCCUGAUUCAUGGAGCCAUUUUGUUUGUUUGUUAUAGUCAAGACGAUGGGGUUAGACACAUUGGUUAAAUAUCACAUGGUUUGAGUCAGUAGUGAUAGUUGAAUCAGUCAUCUCUUUGUCAUUCUGGCUUUACAAAACUACUGUUAUGACUGGAGAUCCACUCUACUAACCAGCAUCAAUUUCACUCGGAUGGGUUAAAU
ensembl:lncRNA